rnacentral:rRNA from 1 species
CUCAGAUUGAACGCUGGCGGCAUGCUUUACACAUGCAAGUCGAACGGCAGCGCGGGGCAACCUGGCGGCGAGUGGCGAACGGGUGAGUAAUAUAUCGGAACGUACCCAAGAGUGGGGGAUAACGUAGCGAAAGUUACGCUAAUACCGCAUACGAUCUAAGGAUGAAAGUGGGGGAUCUCNGGACCUCAUGCUCCUGGAGCGGCCGAUAUCUGAUUAGCUAGUUGGUGAGGUAAAGGCUCACCAAGGCGACGAUCAGUAGCUGGUCUGAGAGGACGACCAGCCACACUGGGACUGAGACACGGCCCAGACUCCUACGGGAGGCAGCAGUGGGGAAUUUUGGACAAUGGGCGCAAGCCUGAUCCAGCAAUGCCGCGUGAGUGAAGAAGGCCUUCGGGUUGUAAAGCUCUUUUGUCAGGGAAGAAACGGCUGAGGUUAAUACCUUCGGCUAAUGACGGUACCGAAG